rnacentral:rRNA from 1 species
GAAUUCACUAGUGAUUAGAGUUUGAUCCUGGCUCAGAUUGAACGCUGGCGGCAUGCCUUACACAUGCAAGUCGAACGGCAGCGGACCUUCGGGUGCUGGCGAGUGGCGAACGGGUGAGUAAUGUAUCGGAACGUACCUUUCAGUGGGGGAUAACUGUAGCGAAAGUUACGCUAAUACCGCAUAUUCUGUGAGCAGGAAAGCAGGGGAUCGCAAGACCUUGCGCUGAUUGAGCGGCCGAUAUCAGAUUAGCUAGUUGGUGAGGUAAAGGCUCACCAAGGCGACGAUCUGUAGCGGGUCUGAGAGGAUGAUCCGCCACACUGGAACUGAGACACGGUCCAGACUCCUACGGGAGGCAGCAGUGGAGAAUUUUGG